rnacentral:rRNA from 1 species
AACGAACGCUGGCGGCGUGCCUAAUACAUGCAAGUCGAACGAGAAAGUGGCUUCGGCCAUGAGUACAGUGGCAGACGGGUGAGUAAUACAUGGGUAACCUGCCUCCAAGAUGGGGACAACCUUCCGAAAGGAGGGCUAAUACCGAAUAAGACCACAAUGACAUAUGUCGUAGGGGUUAAAGGUGGCCUCUAUUUAUAAGCUAUCGCUUGGAGAUGGGCUCAUGCACCAUUAGCUUGUUGGUGAGGUAACGGCUCACCAAGGCUCUGAUGGUUAGCUGAUCUGAGAGGUUGAUCAGCCACACUGGAACUGAGACACGGUCCAGACUCCUACGGGAGGCAGCAGUAGGGAAUAUUGCGCAAUGGAGGAAACUCUGACGCAGCGACGCCGCGUGGGUGACGAAGGCCUUCGGGUCGUAAAGCCCUGUCGGAAGGAAGAAAUACGGUAAUGGCUAAUAUCCAUACC